CCUUUGACGUUAGCGGCGACGGGUGAGUAACACGUGGGUAACCUACCUAUAAGACUGGGAUAACUUCGGGAAACCGGGGCUAAUACCGGAUAAUAUUUCGAACCGCAUGGUUCGAUAGUGAAAGANGGUUUUGCUAUCACUUAUAGAUGGACCUGCGCCGUAUUAGCUAGUUGGUAAGGUAACGGCUUACCAAGGCGACGAUACGUAGCCGACCUGAGAGGGUGAUCGGCCACACUGGAACUGAGACACGGUCCAGACUCCUACGGGAGGCAGCAGUA
rnacentral:rRNA from 1 species